rnacentral:rRNA from 1 species
GAUGAACGCUGGCGGCGUGCCUAAUACAUGCAAGUCGAGCGAACGGACGAGAAGCUUGCUUCUCUGAUGUUAGCGGCGGACGGGUGAGUAACACGUGGAUAACCUACCUAUAAGACUGGGAUAACUUCGGGAAACCGGAGCUAAUACCGGAUGAUAUUUUGAACCGCAUGGUUCAAAAGUGAAAGACGGUCUUGCUGUCACUUAUAGAUGGAUCCGCGCUGCAUUAGCUAGUUGGUAAGGUAACGGCUUACCAAGGCAACGAUGCAUAGCCGACCUGAGAGGGUGAGCGGCCACACUGGAACUGGUACACGGUCCAGACUCCUACGGGAGGCAGCAGUAGGGAAUCCUCCGCAAUGGGCGAAAGCCUGACGGAGCAACGCCGCGUGAGUGAUGAAGGUCAUCGGAUCGUAAAACUCUGUUAUUAGGGAAGAACAUAUGUGUAAGUAACUGUGCACAUCUUGACGGUAACUAAUCAGAAAGCCACGGCUAACUACGUG